rnacentral:rRNA from 1 species
UACGUAGGGGGCAAGCGUUGUCCGGAAUCAUUGGGCGUAAAGAGCUCGUAGGCGGCUCAGUAAGUCGGGUGUGAAACCUCCAGGCUCAACCUGGAGACGCCACCCGAUACUGCUGUGGCUAGAGUCCAGUAGGGGAGUGUGGAAUUCCCGGUGUGAGCGGUGAAAUGCGCAGAUAUCGGGAGGAACACCAGCGGCGAAGGCGGCACUCUGGGCUGGUACUGACGCUGAG